rnacentral:rRNA from 1 species
CAGUUGCCACGGUAAAACAGAGGGUGCAAGCGUUAAUCGGAAUUACUGGGCGUAAAGCGCGCGUAGGUGGUUUGUUAAGUUGGAUGUGAAAUCCCCGGGCUCAACCUGGGAACUGCAUCCAAAACUGGCAAGCUAGAGUAUGGUAGAGGGUGGUGGAAUUCCCUGUGUAGCGGUGAAAUGCGUAGAUAUAGGAAGGAACACCAGUGGCGAAGGCGACCACCUGGACUGAUACUGACACUGAGGUGCGAAAGCGUGGGGAGCAAACAGGAUUAGAUACCCCCGUAGUCCCUGUCUCUUAUAA